UCCUUAUUCCCCCUCUUAUCCCCAACCAAAUACCCUCAGAGUAAAUUGCAAAUAUAUUACUACAAAGUUCAACUUUCAUAUAUUGUCUUUGUAAAAGUCCUAAUAUAUAUUUUCAAAUAUAUCCUCCGAUUUGUUACCGUUAAAACACCAUUUAUUUCAUAAGUAAAAUAAUUUUUUUGCCAUCACAAAUAUGUCACUCCAAAAGUCCCAACUAUUAAUUGAAGAAGGGGUAAAAAGAUUAAUUCAUCUCAUUAACUAACUAGGGUUAAAUAUUUUAUCUAUGGUUAACCAAUUUCUUUCUAACAGAUCCUAACAGUAUGGAUAUAUUUAAAAAUAUCAGAACUUUUGUAAAAACAAUAUAUGAUAGUUAAAUUUUGUAGAGAUAUGUUUGUAAUUCACUAUGUUUGUAAGAAUCGGUAUAAAAUUAACCCUAAAGAAUAAUAAGUGAGAAGUAUUUGGUGUAGAUCCGGAAUAAUUCUUUGUAAAUAGC
rnacentral:lncRNA from 1 species